AAGCAGAAAUAAUCGGAGAUAACAUUUUCUGUACUGAAUUUUAUUUCAACAAGCGUAACUAGAGAAAAAAUUCAAGAAAGAUGAAGAAGAUUCCCAUGAUUUUGCUUGUCCUACUUGCUUUAGAGAUGCAGACAAAUGCACAAACAACCACCGCAGUACCAGCAACAACCACAGCAUCUCCAACAACUACCACAGAGGCCCCAACUUCAACCACUGCUGCAACAACAAC